rnacentral:rRNA from 1 species
GAUGAACGCUGGCGGCGUGCUUAACACAUGCAAGUCGAACGGAAAGACCAUGCGUUUGUGGCGUGCUCGUUUGGCGAACGCGUGAGUAACACAUGUGUAACCUGCCCUUGACUUUGGGAUAACUUCAGGGAACUGGGGCUAAUACACGGUAGGAUCUCUUGCUGCGUGUGGGUGGUUGGAAAGAUUCGGCGGUUUGGGCUGGACUCGAGGGUUAUCAGCUUGUUGGUGUGGUAGGGGCUUACGAAGGCUUUGAAGGGUAGCCGGCCUGAGAGGUUGACCGGCGACAAUGGUACUGAGAGAGGGACCAGACGCCAACGGGCGGCAGUAGGGGAGAAUUUUGCGCAAUGGGCGGACGCGUGAUGCGGCAAUCCUGGGUGCGUGAUGACGGCUUUCUGGUUGUAAACCGCUUUCGCCUGUGCCGUACCGUGAGUGACGGUAAUGAGUAAAGAAGCACCGGCUAACUACGUG